GCCCGUUUAGCUCAGUGGUAGAGCGCGCCACUCGUACCCCAAGGCGAUGGUGAGGUCGGUUGUUCAAUCCAGCCAAUGGGCA